UACGAAGGGGGCGAGCGUUGUUCGGAGUUACUGGGCGUAAAGGGCGCGUAGGCGGCGAUCCAAGUUAGGCGUGAAAGCCCCGGGCUUAACCUGGGAAUUGCGCUUAAGACUGGACUGCUUGAGUGCGGGAGAGGUGAGUGGAAUUCCCAGUGUAGAGGUGAAAUUCGUAGAUAUUGGGAAGAACACCAGUGGCGAAGGCGGCUCACUGGCCCGCAACUGACGCUGAGGUGCGAAAGCGUGGGGAGCAAACAGG
rnacentral:rRNA from 1 species